rnacentral:rRNA from 1 species
AUACGGAGGGUGCAAGCGUUGUUCGGAAUCACUGGGCGUAAAGGGCGCGCAGGCGGUUUGGUAAGUCAGAUGUGAAAGCCCACGGCUCAACCGUGGAAGUGCAUUUGAAACUGUCAGACUUGAGUACUAGAGGGGAAAGUGGAAUUCCCGGUGUAGAGGUGAAAUUCGUAGAUAUCGGGAGGAAUACCGGUGGCGAAGGCGUCUUUCUGGCUAGAUACUGACGCUGAGGCGCGAAAGCGUGGGGAGCAAACAGGAUUAGAAACCCUAGUAGUCC